GACGAACGCUGGCGGCGUGCUUAACACAUGCAAGUCGAACGGAAAGGCCCUGCUUUUGUGGGGUGCUCGAGUGGCGAACGGGUGAGUAACACGUGAGUAACCUGCCCUUGACUUUGGGAUAACUUCAGGAACCUGGGGCUAAUACCGGAUAGGAGCUCCUGCUGCAGGGGGGGGGUGGGAAAGUUUCGGCGGUUGGGGAUGGACUCGCGGCUUAUCAGCUUGUUGGUGGGGUAGUGGCUUACCAAGGCUUUGACGGGUAGCCGGCCUGAGAGGGUGACCGGCCACAUUGGGACUGAGAUACGGCCCAGACUCCUACGGGAGGCAGCAGUGGGGAAUAUUGCACAAUGGGCGGAAGCCUGAUGCAGCAACGCCGCGUGCGGGAUGACGGCCUUCGGGUUGUAAACCGCUUUCGCCUGUGACGAAGCGUGAGUGACGGUAAUGGGUAAAGAAGCACCGGCUAACUACGUG
rnacentral:rRNA from 1 species